UUUUCUUUCAUACUGUUAUUAUUUUUUAUUAUUUGUUUAUUCUAUUUGAAUAUGGUAAGGAGACAUGCGCCCUCCAAUUUCCCAUAGCCCUCCCCCUCCAUAUUUUCUCGGGCUGAGUACUUCACAUAUGCAUAGAACCUUUUGAGCUCCUGAAGGCAUUAAUGAGAACUAUCCCUGGAAAUGAUUCUUUCAACUUGGUACUUAAAUAAAGGAAGUGGUGAGAAUUAGUCGAGAAUGUCUCAGCUUGAAAUGAUUCACUAACACAUUUUGCUGUACAGCAGAAAUUGGCACGACAUGGUAGAUCAACUAUACUUUAAUCAAAAAUGUUUAAAAAUGUGCAUUUCAAUAGGAAUCACAGAGGAUUCAAAUGUAUAUUAAAGUUUGAGAACUACUGCUCUGUAACCACCUGCGGUAGUUUGAAAACAUGGCCACAAAUGAUUUGACUUUCCUGCCAUUGAGAGUGGAAGGGUGCUAUCACCUGAAUGUUUGGGUUCCCCCCAAAGCUGAUAUAUUGAAAUCCUAAUCCCCCAAAUGAUGGUGUUAGAAGGUGGGGGCUUUGAGAAGUGCUUAAGUCACGAGGGUGGGGCCCUCAAAAAUAGGAUUAGUGCCUUAUGAGACCCUAGAGAGCUCCCUCACGGCUUCUACCAUGUGAGGAUACUACAGAGGGUUCCAGCUAUGAACCAGAAAGCCAGCCUUUACCAGACUGUGGCCAUGCUGGUGCCUUGAUCUUGGACUUCCCAGUCUCCAGAACUGCGAGAAAUACAAUUUUCUUCUAUUUACAAGCUACCCAAUCCAUGAUAUGUUGUUUUAACAGCCUGAACGGACUGAGAGAAGAGGGGUCUGUGUCCCUCCAUUGAUGCUGGGUGAGCGGAUGCCUGCUUUGACCAAUAGAGUAUGGCUCAAGUGGCAUCAUGUGAUUUCCAAAGUUAUGCCACAUUCUACCUUGUUCACUGUAAUAUUCUUUGAGCAGCCAGGUAAGGAAUCCAUAUCUUGAGGCUCUGGAGCUAGAGAGGCCACAUGCUUUAGCCAACAGUCCAAAGUGAGCCCAGCCUCUGAAGAACCAUUUCCAUUAAGGUGCCAGGCACAUGAAUGGAUUCAUCUUAGACCCUCUAGACCAGCCCCUCUGCUCACUGAACAUCAAGGAGUGAUUGCUGUCAACACCAUGUGAAAGAAAAGAAUCACCACAAUAGGAGUUCCCGUCGUGGCUCAGUGGUGAACAAAUUUGACUAGGAACCAUGAGGUUGGGGGUUUGAUCCCUGGCCUCACUCAGUGGGUUAACGAUCUGGCGUUGCUGUGAGCUGUGGUGUGGGUCACAGAGGUGGCUCAGAUACCGCAUUGCUGUGGUGUAGGCUGGCGGCUACAGCUCCGAUUCGACCCCUAGCCUGGGAACCUCCAUAUGCUGCAGGUGAGGCCCUAAAAAGACAAAACAAAGUUGUUUUAAGGCACAGAGUCUUGGGGUACUCGGUUAUACAGCAGUGGGUAACCACAACACAAUCCUCAAACUUAGCUGCACUCCAAACACACCUCUCCCUUGAGAAUGAAUGAACUGGUCAGGGGUCCAGCCUGGGCACUGGGAUGUUUAAAAUCGCCGAAGGUAAUUCCACUCCUCAACCAAGGUUUAGAAUCCC
rnacentral:lncRNA from 1 species